GAGUUUGAUCGUGGCUCAGAACGAACGCUGGCGGCAGGCCUAACACAUGCAAGUCGAGCGCCCCGCAAGGGGAGCGGCGGACGGGUGAGUAACGCGUGGGAAUUUUCCUCAAGGUACGGAACAACUCAGGGAAACUUGGGCUAAUACCGUAUGAUGUCUAGCGACCAAAGAUUUAUCGCCUUGGGAUAAGCCCGCGUCAGAUUAGGUAGUUGGUGGGGUAACGGCCUACCAAGCCUGCGAUCUGUAGCUGGUCUGAGAGGACGAUCAGCCACAUUGGGACUGAGACACGGCCCAAACUCCUACGGGAGGCAGCAGUGGGGAAUCUUGCGCAAUGGGCGAAAGCCUGACGCAGCCAUGCCGCGUGAAUGAUGAAGGUCUUAGGAUUGUAAAGUUCUUUCGCUCGUGACGAUGAUGACGGUAACGAGAGAAGAAGCCCCCGGCUAACUUCGUG
rnacentral:rRNA from 1 species